UACGUAGGGUGCGAGCGUUGUCCGGAAUUAUUGGGCGUAAAGGGCUCGUAGGCGGUUUGUCGCGUCGGGAGUGAAAUCCACUGGCUUAACUGGUGGCUUGCUUUCGAUACGGGCAGACUGGAGGUAUGCAGGGGAGAACGGAAUUCCUGGUGUAGCGGUGAAAUGCGCAGAUAUCAGGAGGAACACCGGUGGCGAAGGCGGGUCUCUGGGCCGAUACUGACGCUGAUGCGCGAAAGCUAGGGGGAGCAAACAGG
rnacentral:rRNA from 1 species